CAUUACAACCUUCAAGCUCAGCUUGGUAUUGGAUCUUGACUUUCAUCUUGGAAGUCGGUCUCAAAGACAUUGGCGAUGCUCAGCGUAAGACUUGGAGCGUAGUAAUAUCGAUACCGCUUUUCAAGUGCCCUGGUCAUCUGCCUCGAGCAUUUAAUCAAUUGGUUGACCUCGGAUCAGGUAGGGAUACCCGCUGAACUUAA
rnacentral:misc_RNA from 1 species